ensembl:snoRNA small nucleolar RNA SNORD35
GACAUGUGAUGUCUCUUCUCACGAUGGUCUUCCAAGUCCCAAGAGUGAGUGGACUUUGACGAGAGUUGCCAAAGGCCUUGCUGAUGUCAGUUC